UGGCUUAACUGGUAAAGAAUCUGCCUGCAAUGCAGGAGACCUGGGUUCGAUUCCUGG
rnacentral:tRNA from 1 species